ensembl:ncRNA T09B4.21 ncRNA
AGUGAAUGCCUGUGCGAUGACAAUGGUGGCUGAGAACGUCUCGCUGAUCGACACACUAUUUGCAUCGAGAGGAGAGUAGAGGUAAAUGUGUUAGAAAUAGUGUAGAAGA